CGCCGAUGCAUACCGCAUCAACGCUUUUAACAUUCAUCAACAAUUAACAAUAUCAAUUAUUUGUAUCGUUAUCGAAAAAUAAUUUCUUUGUUAAAUUCGAUGUAUUUUGCGGCGCGCACGAUCGCCGGUGUCGAACGACGUGUCAGAAUUCCGCCGGUGAACACCAUGUGCAGUUUCUGGCGCGCGUCGAAGCCGGUUCCCAGUUAUGCAAUAGCUUGAAAAAGCCGAUAAAACAACAUAUUAUAGCGCCUUUCAUCCACACGAACUGCUGUCGCAAGAUCAUGGAGACGUCUGAAGGUCCUCUACGAGAUAACAACAUGAAAAAUCACUUCGCAAACAACGUGUCAUUUCGGCAAUAAAUAUAAUUGAAUAGAGUAUU